rnacentral:misc_RNA from 1 species
CAACCCCUCAAGCCCCCGGCUUGGUGUUGGGGCACUGCGUCCCCGCAGGCCCCCAAAUCCAGUGGCGGACGCGCCAGGUCCCCGAGCGCAGUAGUUUCUCCUCGCUCCGGGCGGCCGGCGCGGGCUUGCCUCGCCCCCAUCUCCAAA